GGUGGGCAAGAGCAGGGGCUUUGGAACGUAAACCCUUGUCCUCACCCGCUUUGCACAAUUCGGGCACCAGAUUGUGGAUCUGGAUAUCGCGGGUUCGAAUCCCGUCACCCACCC
rnacentral:tRNA from 1 species